rnacentral:rRNA from 1 species
AGUAAUGUCUGGGAAACUGCCUGAUGGAGGGGGAUAACUACUGGAAACGGUAGCUAAUACCGCAUAACGUCGCAAGACCAAAGUGGGGGACCUUCGGGCCUCAUGCCAUCAGAUGUGCCCAGAUGGGAUUAGCUAGUAGGUGGGGUAACGGCUCACCUAGGCGACGAUCCCUAGCUGGUCUGAGAGGAUGACCAGCCACAUUGGAACUGAGACACGGUCCAG